rnacentral:rRNA from 1 species
GACGAACGCUGGCGGCGUGCCUAACACAUGCAAGUCAACUUGACUGAAGGAGCAAUCUGACAGUAGAGUGGCGCAAGGGUGCGUAACGCGUAAGUAACUUGCCCAAGGUAAGGAAUAACGUCGAGAAAUCGGCGCUAAUACCUCAUAAUGCAGCGGAUCCGCAUGGAUAUGUUGUUAAAGGUUUACCGCCUUGGGAUAGGCUUGCGUCUGAUUAGCUAGUUGGUGUGGUAACGGCACACCAAGGCUACGAUCAGUAACUGGUCUGAGAGGAUGAUCAGUCACACUGGAACUGAGACACGGUCCAGACUCCUACGGGAGGCAGCAGUGAGGAAUAUUGGGCAAUGCUCGAAAGAGUGACCCAGCAACGCCGCGUGGAGGAUGAAGGUAUUCUAUAUCGUAAAACUCCUGUGAGAGCAGACGAAAGACAGAUUAUUAAUCUGGAUGACUGUAUGCUCAGAGGAAAG